AACGAACGCUGGCGGCAGGCUUAACACAUGCAAGUCGAACGGUUGCAGCAAUGCAGCAGUGGCAGACGGGUGAGUAACACGUGGGAACCUCCCUAGGGGUACGGAACAACUCAGGGAAACUUGAGCUAAUACCGUAUACGUCCGUGAGGAGAAAGAUUUAUCGCCCUUAGACGGGCCCGCGUCGGAUUAGCUAGUUGGUGGGGUAACGGCCUACCAAGGCGACGAUCCGUAGCUGAUCUUAGAGGAUGAUCAGCCACACUGGGACUGAGACACGGCCCAGACUCCUACGGGAGGCAGCAGUGGGGAAUCUUGGACAAUGGGCGCAAGCCUGAUCCAGCCAUGCCGCGUAAGUGAAGAAGGUCUUCGGAUUGUAAAGCUCUUUUGCCAGGGACGAUAAUGACGGUACCUGGAGAAUAAGCCCCGGCAAACUUCGUGCCAGCCGCCGCGGUAA
rnacentral:rRNA from 1 species